rnacentral:rRNA from 1 species
AGAGUUUGAUCCUGGCUCAGGACGAACGCUGACGGUGUGCUUUAGGCAUGCAAGUCGAACGAGAAAGCCCUUCGGGGUGAGUAAAGUGGCGAACGGGUGAGUAACACGUGGGCAACCUGCCCCUCGCAGGGGGACAACCGGAGGAAACUCCGGCUAAUACCCCGUACGCUUGUUGGAUCGCAUGGUCCGGCAAGGAAAGGUAGCUUCGGCCAUCCGGCGAGGGAUGGGCCCGCGUUGCAUUAGCUAGUUGGUGGGGUAACGGCCUACCAAGGCGACGAUGCGUAGCUGGUCUGAGAGGAUGAUCAGCCACACUGGGACUGAGACACGGCCCAGACUCCUACGGGAGGCAGCAGCCAGGAAUCUUGGGCAAUGGGCGAAAGCCUGACCCAGCAACACCGUGUGGGCGAUGAAGGCCUUAGGGUCGUAAAGCCCUGUUGAUAGGGACGAAGGGCGAAGGGUUAAUAGCCCCUAGCUUGACGGUACCUUUCGAGGAAGCCCCGGCUAACUACGUGCCAGCAGCCGCGGUAAUACGUAGGGGGCGAGCGUUGUCCGGAAUUAUUGGGCGUAAAGAGCGUGUAGGCGGUUCGGUAAGUCUGCUGUGAAAUCCUGGGGCUCAACCCUGGGCGUGCAGCGGAUACUGCCGGGCUAGAGGGUGGUAGAGGCGAGUGGAAUUCCGAGUGUAGCGGUGAAAUGCGCAGAUAUUCGGAGGAACACCAGUAGCGAAGGCGGCUCGCUGGGCCACACCUGACGCUGAGACGCGAAAGCGUGGGGAGCGAACAGGAUUAGAUACCCCAGUAGUCC